GGAAGGAUCAUUAACACGUAUCCAACGUUAAACCCCCCUGUGAACCUUCAGAGUGCUCUUGCAGCCCAUGAGGACAGCAAUCCUGGUAAAUCAGUGGCGAAAGUCGUUUUUGAUUCAGGACCUCUGUCUGAAAGGAAGUUACUGCGGCAAUUGAGCGCUUCGCAGUGGUCUGGAGUCCUGGCCGGGCGGAUGAAAGUGUCGCUGGACGGUUUCUAGGGUAAUGCUUCACAAUCGCUAGAGGCUCAACACGAGCCGGCGGACAGACUGCCGGGCGCAAGCCCCCCUCUUGACGACCAAGUUAAAUAAGGCCUCUGUCACAUAGCAAGUGCGCCGUGACAGAGGAAAACGUACAACUGUUAACAAUGGAUAUCUUGGUUCUCGCAACGAUGAAGAACGCAGCGAAAUGCGAUACGUAAUGCGAAUUGCAGAAUUCAGUGAAUCAUCGAAUCUUUGAACGCAAAUUGCGCUCUCGGGUUACCCCCAAGAGCACACCUCUCUGAGUGUCGGUUUAACCAAAUGUCACCAAUUUAUUGGUUACGAAAGCCUGAGGGUAAGGGGUUUCGGCCUCUUUCCCUUUAAAUCUCAGCCUCACUACUGUGUGUGUUAGUGGCAAGUUGCUUUCACUUAAUUGUGAAUCCAAUCCACAGACCCGCGGUUGGGAAGCCAAAAGAAACAAAUGUUAUAAAGGUGUGUAUCCGAGAAGCUUGCUUCAAGGGUUCGCGGCUUUGUACAUCUAUGAAUUAGACCUCAGAUGAAGUGGGAAGACCCCCUGAAUUUAAGCAUAUUAUUAAGGGGAGGAAAAGAAACUAACAAGGAUUCCCCUAGUAACGGCGAGUGAAGCGGGAAGAGCUCAAAUUUAAAAUCCGCAGGUCUAACAGCCUGUGGAGUUGUAAUCUAGAGAGGCUCUCUCAGUGCCAGCCUGGUUAUAAGUCCCUUGAAACGGGGCAUCAAAGAGGGUGAGAAUCCCGUAUUUGAGCCGGAGCUAAGUACGUACGAGGAGUUUUCUAAGAGUCGCGUUGCUUGGGAGUGCAGCGCUAAAUGGGUGGUAAAGUUCAUCUAAAGCUAAAUACUGGCGAGAGACCGAUAGCGAACAAGUACCGUGAGGGAAAGAUGAAAAGAACUUUGAAAAGAGAGUUAAAAAGUACUUGAAAUUGUUAACAGGGAAGGGGAGUCAACCAGUCAAUUUUGGCUUCAUUCGCUUCUCUUUCGGGAGGAGUUACUUGAGGCCGAAUGGGGUCAGCAUCACUUGAGUGUCUUGCAGAAACUGUGUGAGUUGGUGCGUUUCUUCGGAUUCGUUUAAUUCAUGCAAUCUACAUUGUGCUUGGGUGAGGAUACCAUAACCCCCCGCUUUCGGGCGUCGAUUCUCUGAGGUCUGUUUGCCCUAGCGCGUGAGAGAACAAAGUUCUGUCUGUGCGAAAGGUGAAUACUGCUUUGGAUGAGUCAGAUGGUGGGUUCGGGAUGCUGACGAAAUGGUUGUCUUCCACCCGUCUUGAAACACGGACCAAGGAGUCUAACAUAUAUGCGAGUAUUUGGGUGACAAACCCUGAUGCGUAAUGAAAGUAAAGAGCCGCAAGGCUUGAGGUAGGAAUCUUGCCUUCGGGUGAGAGGCACUAUCGACCGAUCGUUCGCUUGCGAAAGAUUUGAGUAAUAGCAUAUCUGUUGGGACCCGAAAGAUGGUGAUCUAUGCCUGAACAGGGUGAAGCCAGGGGAAACUCUGGUGGAAGCUCGUAGCGAUACUGACGUGCAAAUCGUUCGUCUGAUUUGGGUAUAGGGGCGAAAGACUAAUCGAACCAUCUAGUAGCUGGUUCCCUC
rnacentral:misc_RNA from 1 species